GUGGAUAUAGCUCAGUGGUAGAGCGUGUGCUUAGCAUGCAUGAGGUCCCAGGUUCAAUUCCCAGUACCUUCA
rnacentral:tRNA from 1 species